GUACGUUUGCAAGUUUUAGCG
ensembl:piRNA 21ur-3936 ncRNA